rnacentral:tRNA from 1 species
CGUUGCGUGCGGCGCGGCGCAAAGCGGCGUCGCUGAGCCCGCCGACGUAGACGGGUAUCGGCGGCGGCGUCGGUUGCAUCUCCAGCCGCGGCGUC